rnacentral:rRNA from 1 species
GACAAAAAAUAACGAUACGGGACUCAUCCGAGGCCUCGUAUCGGAAUGAGUACACUUUAAAUCCUUUAACAAGGAUCUAUUAGAGGACAAGUCUGGUGCCAGCACCCGCGGAAAUUCCAGCUCUAAUAGCGUAUAUUAAAGUUGUUGCGGUUAAAAAGCUCGUAGUUGGUUCUGUGUGCCAUGCUGUUGGUUCACCGCCUGCCGGUGUAACUGACAUGUCAUGGGACGUACUGUCGGUGGUGAUUUAAAGAACCGAUUUCUGGUUUUAAGGUAAAACUUAAACCAGAGAGAGGAGACCUUUAGUUGCCGAUUAACUCCUACCGCGGUGCUCUUUACUGAGUGUCGAGGUGGGCCGACAUUUUUACUUUGAACAAAUUAGAGUGCUUAAAGCAGGCAAAAAUCUGCCUGAAUAGUGGUGCAUGGAAUAAUAGAAUAGGAUCUUGGUUCUAUUUUGUUGGUUUUUAAGAAUCCAAGGUAAUGAUCAAUAUGGACAGGCGGGGGCAUUCGUAUUGCGACGUUAGAGGUGAAAUUCUUGGAUCGUCGCAGGACGAACUAGAGCGAAAGCAUUUGCCAAGUAUGUCUUAAUUGAUCAAGAACGAAAGUUAGAUGCGCGAAGGCGAUCAGAUACCGCCCUAGUUCUAACCAUAAACGAUGUCAGCCAGCGAUCCGUCGAUGUUUUUUUCAUGACUCGACGGGCAGCUUUCGGGAAACCAAAGCUUU